rnacentral:lncRNA from 1 species
GGGUUUUGGUUUAGUAUCUGUUCAACAAGUUUAGGAGAGAGAUGGAUGUAAGUGAGAAAGAUGAGUUGAGGAAUGGUAAUGAUACAACUGUGAACUAUGUUGAGUCUGCUAAUAAUCCACCUCCAGAUUGGAGAGUCUCUGGUUCUAAUCCGGUCUCUGAUUCAUAUCCUACAGAGAAUCUGAUCUCCUCUUCUCAGAUGAUGGAGACUCUUUGGUAUGAUCCAGCAAACGUUCAAGCUGUGGGUUAUGGUGGCUUCAACGGUGGUGGUAACCCCUCUUCUUCGUCUUCCUUUAGGGCUAAUAUCGAUAGAUCUCUUGAAACGGGUUGGAGUCUACCUAACUUGUUGCCUCCCAAAGGCGGCAACGGGAUGUUCUUGCCAAACGCUAGUAGCUUCCUGCCUCCGAGUAUGGCUCAGUUCCCGGCUGAUUCAGGAUUCAUAGAGCGUGCGGCGAGGUUUUCGCUCUUCAGCGGUGGGAGUUUUAGUGAUAUGAUGAAUCAGCAGCAGCCACUUGGGAAUCCGGAGUCGGUUGGUUUGUUUCUUCAAGGGCAGUGUCCAAGUAGUGAAGUGAAUGUUGUUGGUGUAGCUCACAAUGAUGCAUCUGCGGCAAUGAAAGAGACUAAUAAACAGAAUGUUCCUGGUUCGGGGAAUGUAUCAGAGGAUACUCAGUCUAGUGGUGGUAAUGGUCAGAAAGGUGGGGAGACUUCUUCCAAAGGCUUUGACUCAAAGAAGAGAAAAAGAAAUAAACAGGUAGAAGAUUUGAAGUUUUUUACUCUUUUUAUUUGGUUCUCUCUUUGACAUUUUGGUGAUGUAUCUGUUGUGUAGAAUGCUGAAGCAGAUCAGUCAAACAGAUCUCAGCAAUCUGAGGAAGAACCAGACAACAAUGGUGGUGGUGAUAAGAAGAGGAAUGAUGAGCAGAGUCCAAACUCACAGGGGAACAAAACAAACAGUGGGAAACAACAGGGGAAACAAGCUUCUGAUCCUAAAGAUGGAUAUAUUCAUGUGCGUGCGCGUAGAGGCCAGGCUACAAAUAGCCACAGUCUUGCAGAAAGAGUACGGUUUCUUAAGCCCUCUUGGAAGUUGAAUAGAGAAGCAUUCUCUGAUUACUUGUUUGUGGUUUUAGGUGAGGAGAGAAAAGAUCAGUGAAAGGAUGAAGUUUCUUCAAGAUCUUGUUCCGGGCUGCAACAAGGUAAGAGUCUUUUAUACAUGCUGAUGUGUAAGAAGUGAAGCAAAGCUAAUGCAGAAAAACUGAAGUGGUGUUUUGAGUUUCCAGGUGACUGGAAAGGCAGUUAUGCUUGACGAAAUCAUUAACUAUGUGCAAUCUCUGCAACGCCAAGUUGAGGUAUGAAGUUUCAUCAUUGUCAGCUAUGUCCUCUUUUGUGUUGCUUCUUGUGAUAAUCAAUUUGCUUCUCUGUAUUGUUUAAAACAGUUCUUAUCGAUGAAACUAGCAACUGUGAACCCACAAAUGGACUUUAACCUUGAAGGUCUUCUUGCCAAAGAUGUAAAGAGAUCUUAUGAAUUCUCCUUAUCAUUUAUACUCAUCAUAAGAUUCUUCUGAUAAAACCGAAUCCUAUACACACAGGCACUUCAACUACGAGCUGGUACGUCAUCUGCAACACCGUUUCCUCCAAAUAUGCCAAUGGUUUAUCCUCCUCUACCACAUGGAUUCAUGCAACAGACCCUUUCAUGCAUGGGAAGGACCGUUAGCUCUCCAUUGUCUCCCCCAAUAAAUGGUGGAUACAAGCGACAGGUAUUGUAUAACAGGGUCUGAAAUCUGUAGAAAUGAGCUCAUAAUCUGAUUCUGUUUUUGUAAUAAUAGGAAGCAAAUGGAUGGGAAGGUGAUCUUCAAAAUGUGAUACAGAUUAACUAUGGAGCUGGUGAUGUCCCACCCGACUCUCAAGCAGCAGCUACAGGUGAAAACUGAAACCUCUUUGUUACUUUCUUUACAAACCUUGAGGAGAAUUGUUUUGCUAAAACUGUCUGUUUUUGGUUUACAGAUGCAUCUCUUCCAUCUUCAAACAUGAAGGUUGAGCCAUGAGAUUUUCUUUCUGUUAGAUAGAAUGUUAUAUUCUUGUAAUCUUUCUUUUAAAUUUACUGUGUACUAUAUGAUGUAUUAACGAGUACUACUAGUCUACUACUGCUACUAAUAAGCAUUUAAGAUUAGGUAAAACGAUUAUAAUCUGUGAGCUGGAAAUGAUUAGAAAUAUAGUACCUUUUUGUAAGAGAAGUUAUGUUGGUAUCCUGUCCUCUGUUUGUCAUAAAACAUAAAACUGACAGCUGCAUCUUCCCAUCAAAGAUAUAGACAAUACAUGCGACCUAUCUAGAUUUGAUCUUGAGAAAGGAAAAUUCAGAUUGAGAGCUAGUUUCCGUUGUUAAACUGUUGUAGUAUUUUAAUCCUUGGUGGGUCACUCACUAUAUAUGUUAAGUUGAGUGGCCGGAGAGAAGAUCUUUAAGAUGACGUUAACAUAAAAGCCAGGGCCGUCUCAAUUAAUUUUCGGACCCUGUUCAAAAAUAUUAGCUGUAUAAUUAAUAAUGUAAUGAAAUAGUUUUAUAUAUAUAUAUGUAUAUUUACUGUUUUUUUAAACAUUAUAUGCUCUAAAUUUAGAUUUAUAUAUUUUUUAAAAAUUUUAGACGGUAAUUUAUAUAAUAUUUUUAAAAAAUUAUUAAUUAUUUUUUGUUUUUUUGAUUUGGAGAUUGUUCCAAUUGAACGUGCUAUUAGACGGCCUGAUAAAAGCACAAUAAUGUAACGUGCCAUUUUUCCCUUGGUUCAUGCAGUAGUAUAACUGAGGAAACUAUUAGAAAACUUAAGUGAAGAAGACCCUAUCCACGUUCCCAUCAUCAAUCUAUCUUCUUCAAGUGAGAGAGCCAUUGAUCUCUGUUCAUUACCACAGACAUCUCACCAACCACAGACCACCACAAUAAGUAUCGUCUUAAACAAAGGACUUAAAGAACAGUCGAAAAGUCUUCAAUGUUAAAGCCAAGAACCGGUAAAGAACCCUAAAACUUUCUUGCUGGUAGGAGGGAAAAUGUAUUGAAAGUAGUUACAAUCCUAUAACUGAACAGUAUCCCCACCCAACUCGACUCUAUAGGGCAUCUACAUUGGUGAAUUCCAAGGGGAGUUCACCCGGAUUUCGAGAAAAAAAAAUAUUAAAAUAAUAAAAAUCAGUGAACCUGUCCAAGGGGAGUUCACUCCAGUGAACCCGGAUCGUCACUGUAGCGCGAGCCCCACGACACGUGACGGCCCGCGAUUGGUCCUAUUAAUAAUUUUUUUUUUUGUCUAAAACAAAAAUUAAACAAAAAAAAAUAAUAAUAAAAAAAUGUUUUGUGAACUACUUACUCUGCGCGGUUGCGCGGAUCAAAAUCUAGUUACGUAUUAAACUUAAACCUUACAGAUUUAACCCAAAAAAAUCAACUAAUAUUUGAAACUAAAACCUUUUCACACAAAAAUUAAAAGAAAAACCUGCAAAUGAUAAUGCUUGGCUAUGAGUUUACAAAAAAAAAAAAAAAAAAAGAACUAUGGCGGUGUUUAUGUUAAAUGAUGAUCAAAAAGCUCUUAUUUUUAUGCAAGCGUGGGAUAUAAAUCCACAUCCUUUUCUAGAUUUUUAUUUUCCUUCUCUUUUCCCCUUUCUUCUAAAAAGCCACUCAUCUGCUCUCUCUCUCUCUCUGUGCAGCUGAAGAACAGAGAAAAAGGGUUUUGUCAUCUGACCAAAGGACCCAUUUCAAUAAAGUUUUCUUUGGCGAGAAACUGAGGAAAAAGUUUGAAGCUUUGAACAGAAAGUGGCACAGAUUCUGCGAAAUGGGUAUCUUUUCUCCCGUCUCUUUUUAACUUCAUUACCUCCUUAAAUCUGGUCUAGGUUUUUUUUUUUUAUCAAAGCUCUGUUUUUUUUUCUUCUUCUAGGGUUUCGUACAGAACAAAUCAUGAUCUUUUAAUGAAUCUUUGUUUUUGUUCUUCCGUUAUAUGAAAUCAAUUCAAUUGGUUCUCUCUUACAGGUGGAUUGUGCAUCUCUAAAGACCAAUGUGGUUGUGUUUGUGUGGGAACUUCUUUUGUUUUGUAGCUGUCUGAACUUGAUCCUGGAGUUGGGUUUUGGUUUAGUAUCUGUUCAACAAGUUUAGGAGAGAGAUGGAUGUAAGUGAGAAAGAUGAGUUGAGGAAUGGUAAUGAUACAACUGUGAACUAUGUUGAGUCUGCUAAUAAUCCACCUCCAGAUUGGAGAGUCUCUGGUUCUAAUCCGGUCUCUGAUUCAUAUCCUACAGAGAAUCUGAUCUCCUCUUCUCAGAUGAUGGAGACUCUUUGGUAUGAUCCAGCAAACGUUCAAGCUGUGGG